GUGGGGAAUAUUGGACAAUGGGCGCAAGCCUGAUCCAGCCAUGCCGCGUGAGUGAUGAAGGCCUUAGGGUUGUAAAGCUCUUUCAGUAGGGAAGAUAAUGACGGUACCUACAGAAGAAGCCCCGGCUAACUUCGUGCCAGCAGCCGCGGUAAUACGAAGGGGGCUAGCGUUGUUCGGAUUUACUGGGCGUAAAGCGCACGUAGGCGGUUUGUUAAGUCAGGGGUGAAAUCCCGGAGCUCAACUCCGGAACUGCCUUUGAUACUGGCAAGCUAGAGUCCGGAAGAGGUAAGUGGAACUCCUAGUGUAGAGGUGGAAUUCGUAGAUAUUAGGAAGAACACCAGUGGCGAAGGCGGCUUACUGGUCCGGAACUGACGCUGAGGUGCGAAAGCGUGGGGAGCAAACAGGAUUAGAAACCCUGGUAGUCC
rnacentral:rRNA from 1 species